CCUACGUGCGGCAGCAGUGAGGAAUAUUGGUCAAUGGGCGGGAGCCUGAACCAGCCAAGUCGCGUGAGGGAAGACGGUCCUAUGGAUUGUCAACCUCUUUAGGCGGGGAGCAAUGCCGGGCACGCGUGCCCGGAGGGAGAGUACCCGCAGAAUAAGCAUCGGCUAACUCCGUGCCAGCAGCCGCGGUAAUACGGAGGGUGCGAGCGUUAUCCGGAUUUAUUGGGUUUAAAGGGUGCGUAGGCGGAUUUUUAAGUCAGCGGUAAAAGGCUGUGGCCCAACCAUAGAAUUGCCGUGGAAACUGGGAGGCUUGAGUAUGUGUGAGGCAGGCGGAAUGCGUGGUGUAGCGGUGAAAUGCUUAGAUAUCACGCAGAACCCCGAUUGCGAAGGCAGCCUGCCAAGCCAUUACUGACGCUGAUGCACGAAAGCGUGGGGAUCGAACAGGAUUAGAUACCCCAGUAGUC
rnacentral:rRNA from 1 species